rnacentral:lncRNA from 1 species
AAGCGGUGGCUCCACUGGAGGAAAACACACCCCGGUCUCACAUUAAAGAAGCCAAACUGUCGGCUUCAAAGAGAAAAGGCAACAUCCUGUCACAGGCCAUGCUCUGGCAAAAACGUUGGUGUGAAAGGUACCAACUGCAAGUUUCAACUUGCAAAAACACUUGGCCGUUGGGCUCCUUUGGAAUCGUCUUGAAGCUUCAGAUUCUGAUAUUUCAUGAGCACUUUGCAAAGUCACUAUGAGAAGCACCCUCCUUCUUACCUGCUCAGCUGGAGUCAGUUACAGAAUUCCUUGGCAGCUGGCUGUGGACACGUGCCGGGCAGUCAGGAGACCCGUGGGAGCUGUGGGAGUCCUGCAACGUCAAUAGGAAGAGCCACAGCUCCGGAGCAAGCCCCAGCCCCGGCCCGGCCAUACCAGGGCGUCCGUGUGAAGGAGCCAGUGAAGGAACUGCUGAGGAGGAAGCGAGGCCACGCCAGCAGUGGGG